GAGUUUGAUCGUGGCUCAGAUUGAACGCUGGCGGCAUGCCUUACACAUGCAAGUCGAACGGCAGCAUGAUCUAGCUUGCUAGAUUGAUGGCGAGUGGCGAACGGGUGAGUAAUACAUCGGAACGUGCCCUGUAGUGGGGGAUAACUAGUCGAAAGAUUAGCUAAUACCGCAUACGACCUGAGGGUGAAAGUGGGGGAUCGCAAGGCCUCAUGCUAUAGGAGCGGCCGAUGUCUGAUUAGCUAGUUGGUGGGGUAAAGGCCCACCAAGGCGACGAUCAGUAGCUGGUCUGAGAGGACGAUCAGCCACACUGGGACUGAGACACGGCCCAGACUCCUACGGGAGGCAGCAGUGGGGAAUUUUGGACAAUGGGCGAAAGCCUGAUCCAGCAAUGCCGCGUGUGUGAAGAAGGCCUCGG
rnacentral:rRNA from 1 species